UACAGAGGUCUCAAGCGUUGUUCGGAUUCAUUGGGCGUAAAGGGUGCGUAGGCGGCGCGGUAAGUCGGGUGUGAAAUCUCGGGGCUUAACUCCGAAACUGCAUUCGAUACUGCCAUGCUUGAGGACUGGAGAGGAGACUGGAAUUUACGGUGUAGCGGUGAAAUGCGUAGAUAUCGUAAGGAAGACCAGUGGCGAAGGCGGGUCUCUGGACAGUUCCUGACGCUGAGGCACGAAGGCCAGGGGAGCAAACGGG
rnacentral:rRNA from 1 species